CGUGUAGGCGGAGGAGCAAGUCAGAUGUGAAAUCCCGGGGCUUAACCCCGGAACUGCAUUUGAAACUGUUCCCCUUGAGUAUCGGAGAGGCAAGCGGAAUUCCUAGUGUAGAGGUGAAAUUCGUAGAUAUUCGCAAGAACACCAGUGGCGAAGGCGGCUCACUGGGCCAUUACUGACGCUGAGGCACGAAAGCGUGGGUAGCAAACA
rnacentral:rRNA from 1 species